GCAGAAGUCAGAUUUGGUGAUAAA
rnacentral:siRNA from 1 species